rnacentral:tmRNA from 1 species
GGGGCCGACCUGGUUUCGACCGGACAGGGAAGGCAAUACAUUGCGUAACGUGGAGCAUCCUUGCCACGUAAAAAGGAUGCACAACUUUUAGUUGGCAACGCUAACUACGCACUCGCAGCAUAACCUGCGACACAUCGUUCUCGACGCCUGAUACAGCGCGAUGUGCAAAAAUCGGGCUGGUUCCAAAGUGCUCGCAAGCCAUGGAGGAAUGAGACUUUAGUUUGCGUAGGUCACGCUCAGAUUGUCAAUUGUUCUGAGUGUGUGCCGAGAUUGAACAACUGACUACUUGCGUAGACGUGUAUUGUUGACUGCUUCGGGACGGGAGUUCGAUUCUCCCCGGCUCCAUUG